CCAGAACUAGGAGAAUCAAGCCUUUUAUGGUAUUAUCAGGACUGCGGUCCCAGAGAACCGCACUUCCGCGUCCCACGGCGGUAACCACGCCCUCAAAUGCAAGGUCGGCACUUGAUAGGCCCACGAAACCAUAGUUCUGGCUGAUUUACGAAAAACUGAGAAACCCCAGGAGUCCACCUGGUUAUUAAGAAAGAUUAAACUGGAAGAUUCGGGCUGCAGAAUAGAACAUCACAUCUCUUGCCUAACCCAAACCGUUGGAAUCCCAGAGGAAGAUGACAUAUUUGUAAGCUGGCAUUGUGGUAGAUGGACCUUGUACAGCCAAGUGACUAACCAGGGAUGUGCUUGUUGUGUACUGCAGCCACACGAUAAAAUGAGAUUUGUAAAAGCUUA